ACUCCUACGGGAGGCAGCAGUGGGGAAUUUUGGACAAUGGGGGCAACCCUGAUCCAGCCAUGCCGCGUGAGUGAAGAAGGCCUUCGGGUUGUAAAGCUCCUUCGGCCGGAACGAAAUCGCGUACGUGAAUAACGUGCGUGGAUGACGGUACUGGAAGAAGAAGCACCGGCUAACUACGUGCCAGCAGCCGCGGUAAUACGUAUGGUGCGAGCGUUAAUCGGAAUUACUGGGCGUAAAGCGUGCGCAGGCGGUUCUGCAAGUCAGAUGUGAAAUCCCCGGGCUUAACCUGGGAACUGCGUUUGAAACUACGGAGCUAGAGUACGGCAGAGGGGGGUGGAAUUCCACGUGUAGCAGUGAAGUGCGUAGAUAUGUGGAGGAACACCGAUGGCGAAGGCAGCCCCCUGGGCCGAUACUGACGCUCAGGCACGAAAGCGUGGGGAGCAAACAGGAUUAGAUACCCUGGUAGUCCACGCCCUAAACUAUGUCAACUAGUUGUCGGGAAAGCAAUUUCUUGGUAACGAAGCUAACGCGUGAAGUUGACCGCCUGGGGAGUACGGUCGCAAGAUUAAAACUCAAAGGAAUUGACGG
rnacentral:rRNA from 1 species